AGAAUCAACGCUGGCGGCGUGCCUCAGACAUGCAAGUCGAACGCGAAAGUCCCCUUCGGGGGGCAAGUAGAGUGGCGCACGGGUGAGUAACACGUAGGUAAUCUACCUUUGGAUGGGGAAUAACAAUCGGAAACGGUUGCUAAUACCGCAUAAUGCAGCGGCACCUAAUGGUGACAGUUGUUAAAGCGGGGGAUCGAAAGACCUCGCGUCUGAAGAGGAGCCUGCGGCGGAUUAGCUAGUUGGUAAGGUAAUGGCUUACCAAGGCAACGA
rnacentral:rRNA from 1 species